rnacentral:rRNA from 1 species
AUGUUUUUCGGACAUUUGGAGCACCGGGAGCACCCCAAGCCUGGGAGCACUAGAUACUUUCCCCCUGGAUUAUGUCUGAUGUCGAAGAUUGAUCAAUGUACACAGGUAGUUUUGGCCAGACAUUUUUCAAGUGGGGCAGAUUUGCCACUGCAUGAGGCAAUCGGGAUGCCUUCUCUUUCCCCUACUAUGACCGGGGGAAAUAUUGCAAGGUGGUUGAAGAAGGAAGGAGACAAAGUUUCACCUGGGGAAGUUCUUUGCGAAGUGGAAACCGAUAAAGCUACCGUGGAGAUGGAAUGCAUGGAGGAAGGCUAUCUUGCUAAGAUAGUUUGUGGAGAUGGCGCAAAAGAGAUUAAAGUCGGCGAGGUUUAA